rnacentral:ncRNA from 1 species
GAGGUGGCACAGGUUUUUUACCGUUUCCCCUGUCCUGGAGCGGCCAAAGGAGAACGGUGUCAGGCCGCUCACAUCCU